AUGCGAUAAGUAAUGUGAAUUGCAGAAUUCAGUGAAUCAUCGAAUCUUUGAACGCACCUUGCGCUCCUUGGUAUUCCGAGGAGCAUGCCUGUUUGAGUGUCAUUUAAUUCUCAACCAUGCUGGCUUUGUAAAGGUCAGUUGUGGCUUGGAUUGUGGGGGUAUUCCUGCGGGUCUCUCUUGAGGUCGGCUCCCCUAAAAUGCAUUAGCAGAACCGUUUGCGGUCAGUCGCAGGUGUGAUAAUUAUCUACGCCAAAGACCAAGGCUGCUCUCUGUUUGUUCAGCUUCUAAUUGUCUCGGGACAAAUUUUUUUGAAUGUUUGACCUCAAAUCAGGUAGGACUACCCGCUGAACUUAA
rnacentral:misc_RNA from 1 species